GGCAGUGGUAUCUCAGUGGUUAAGAUGUUGGACUAUUGAUCAGAAUGUCGUGAGUUAAAAUCCCAGCACUGUCA